rnacentral:rRNA from 1 species
UACGUAGGGGGCAAGCGUUGUUCGGAGUUACUGGGCGUAAAGCGCGCGUAGGCGGUGCGGUAAGUCAGGGGUUAAAGGCUGCAGCUCAACUGCAGUAAGGCCUUUGAUACUAUCGUGCUAGAGUGUCAGAGAGGAUGGCGGAAUUCCCGGUGUAGCGGUGAAAUGCGUAGAUAUAUGGAGGAACACCGGUGGCGAAAGCGGCUCUCUGGACUGUAACUGACACUGAGGCUCGAAAGCGUGGGUAGCAAACAGG